GUGGGCGUCCUGCAGUUUCUUUUUCCAUGAAUUACUGUGAUUCAAGUGCUAAACAUUAUGCAGCGAUAUAUCCUCUGAAGUUAGCCUAAGGCUUGCCUAAGAAGUUUCAUGUUUUCCUUUGAUGUCUGCUCAGGACCCUUACUGAACGCGAAUGUGAAAUCCUUCGACACAAAAGGCUGCAGUUCCUCCAGCCCCGAGAAUUUAGAAAAGAAAGAGAACUUGUGCGUGCCUGACUUUCUUGACUGGGGCUGGAUUGUUAGCGAGGGAUCACUUACAAGCUCUUUUCUGUCUUUUGAGACGGGAGUUGCAAGGCUUCUAAGCAAACCUCGCUCCUAGCCAUUGGGAUUCCUGCACCUUUUGCACCCCUGGCCAGCAGGCUGCUGGAGCCUGAGCUCCUUGGUACAGCAGCCUCCUGAUGAUCCUUAUCGGAUGCUGAAAGCAGCAAGCUUCGCUCCAUCUUCCAGCUGGAGGAUCUUAGAAGGAUUUGAAACUUUGGUGCCAGCUUUCAGAUAAGUUGGGGAUGAAUUCUGCUACCUGAGAGCAUUACUGCACACCGUAUGUAGAUGGCAUGUGGCAGGCGCUGUGGGAGCUGCCAGGGCCGAAGGACAGUGAAUCAUCAGGGCUUUUGCUGCAUCUGCUGCAAAUCCUGAACGACUGGAGCAUGGAGUCGAUCAGGUCUGAGCCCUCCUGGCUUCCUUGGGUGUUUCGGUUGUGGGCCCUCGCAGUUGGAAGAGGAGGAAGUUUUAGCAGGCCCGCGCAGGUCACAGCUGAGGUGUCCAGGAAGGACCGGCGGGUCUGAGCUGGGACCGAACCGCACCUGGAAAGUGGUGCCAGGAGCUGUUUGCUUUAGAGUCUGAAGUCGGUAUUUGAAUGCACGUGUGCACCUUUGUGCAUCAAAAAAACCAACCUGCCCAGAGAAAGCACACAGCACAGAACGCAGGUCUGCUGGCUGUCGCUGCUCAGGGGACACAGGGGUGCUGUGGAAAUCUUUCUGUGUGCAUCUUUGAAACGAAAACAAAAAACAACAUAAAAGAACAUCUGCUUGUGUGAAAACGGAUCCGUUUCUCCUGGUUUCAAAGUGCCCAUUGCAGCAUGUGCCAUUUUUUCUGGAAUCACGGCAGAGAAGGGACAUCUCCAGAAAAUGCUGAGGUUAAAACAUCGAGGUACAACCUGCCUGUGCUAUGGUUACAAAGAUACCGUCAGCUUGGUCCUGCGGACAGCAAAUGCGUUAGUGAAGUUGAGAGAUACUGCCAGACCUUCCUCACUUCUUUUUUUGUGAUUUGCCAAAUCCUCAGCUGGCUGCAGGGUGCCCAAAAGCCCUGGCUCGAGCUGGAAGGAAGGGCAGCUGUGAGAGGAUGCUGCUGUCCCCUGGGAGCGUCCGGGGAGCCCCAGACACAAAGCUGCUGGGUUUGGUUUUGUUGUUUAUUGAAGACAGGCCUUUGUGCAGCAGUAAUGGAAAAUCCUAUUUCUGUACCAAUAAAAGCUUUGCUCCCAUGGUUGUU